rnacentral:snoRNA from 10 species
CUGCUAGUCAUGCUGACCACAGCCGCCCAGGCAUGGUUGACGGGGCUACCGAGGUACACCAUCAACAGUUGGUCCGAACUGAAGUGGCAG